GGUUCGAUUAUGGCUCAGAUUGAACGCUGGCGGGGAUGCUUUACACAUGCAAGUCGAACGGCAGCACGGACUUCGGUCUGGUGGCGAGUGGCGAACAGGUGAGUAAUGUAUCGGAACGUGCCUAGUAGCGGGGGAUAACUACGCGAAAGCGUAGCUAAUACCGCAUACGCCCUUCGGGGGAAAGCGGGGGACCUUCGGGCCUCGCACUAUUAGAGCGGCCGAUAUCGGAUUAGCUAGUUGGUGGGGUAACGGCUCACCGAGGCGACGAUCCGUAGCUGGUUUGAGAGGACGACCAACCACACUGGGACUGAGACACGGCCCAGACUCCUACGGGAGGCAGCAGUGGGGAAUUUUGGACAAUGGAAACCCUGAUCCAGCCAUCCGCGUGUGCGAUGAAGGCCUUCCGGGUUGUAAAGCACUUUUGGCAGGAAAGAAACGGCACGGGAUAAUACCCCGUGCAGCGGCAGGUACCUGCAGAAUAAGCACCGGCUAACUACGUGCCAGCAGCCGCGGUAAUACGUAGGGUGCAAGCGUUAAUCGGAAUUACUGGGCGUAAAGCGUGCGCAGGCGGUUCCGGAAAGAAAGAUGUGAAAUCCCAGAGCUUAACUUUGGAACUGCAUUUUUAACUACCGAGCUGAGAGUGUGUCAGGGAGGUGGAAUUCCACGCGUGUAGCAGUGAAAUGCGUAGAUAUGCACGGAGGAACACCGAUGGCGAAGGCAGCCUCCUGGGAUAACACUGACGCUCAUGCACGAAAGCGUGGGGAGCAAACAGGAUUAGAUACCCUGGUAGUCCACGCCCUAAACGAUGUCAACUAGCUGUUGGGGCCUUCGGGCCUUGGUAGCGCAGCUAACGCGUGAAGUUGACCGCCUGGGGAAUACGGUCGCAAGAUUAAAACUCAAAGGAAUUGACGGGGACCCGCACAAGCGGUGGAUGAUGUGUGGAUUAAUUCGAUGCAACGCGAAAACCUUACCUACCCUUGACAUGUCUGGAAUCCCGAAGAGAUUUGGGAGUGCUCGCAAGAGAACCGGAACACAGGUGCUGCAUGGCUGUCGUCAGCUCGUGCCGUGAGAUGUUGGGUUAAGUCCGCAACGAGCGCAACCCUUGUCAUUAGUUGCUACGAAAGGGCACUCUAAUGAGACUACCGGUGACAAACCGGAGGGGAAGGUGGGGAUGACGUCAAGUCCUCAUGGCCCUUAUGGGUAGGGCUUCACACGUCAUACAAUGGUCGGGACAGAGGGUCGCCAACCCGCGAGGGGGAGCCAAUCCCAGAAACCCGAUCGUAGUCCGGAUCGCAGUCUGCAACUCGACUGCGUGAAGUCGGAAUCGCUAGUAAUCGCGGAUCAGCAUGUCGCGGUGAAUACGUUCCCGGGUCUUGUACACACCGCCCGUCACACCAUGGGAGUGGGUUUUACCAGAAGUAGUUAGCCUAACCGUAAGGAGGGCGAUUACCACGGUAGAGGAUUCAUGACUGGGGUGAAGUCGUAACAAGGUAG
rnacentral:rRNA from 1 species